CUUCUUGAAUUAAUUGGAAGUCGUGCCUGCCCACUGAAUGAUUUUGAAGGGCCGCGGUAUUUUGACCGUGCAAAGGUAGCAUAAUCAUUAGUCUUUUAAUUGAAGGCUGGGAUGAAUGGUUUGACGAAACAAUAACUGUCUUUUGAGUAUAAUUUGAAGUUUACUUUUAAGUUAAAAGGCUUAAAUAUUAACUGGGGACGAGAAGACCCUAUAGAUCUUUAUUUAUUUUAUAUUAUUUCUUUUUUAGUUGUUUUAUUAUUUAUUAUUAAAUGAAUUUUAUUGGGGUGAUAUGAGAAUAUGAAAAACUUCUUAUUAUAAAGACUUUGAUGUUUGGAUAUUAGGAUCCUUUAUUAUGGAUUUAAGAUUAAGAUACCUUAGGGAUAACAGCGUAAUUUUAUUUGAGAGUUCUUAUCGACAAUAAAGAUUGCGACCUCGAUGUUGGAUUAAGUUUAUAGGUUGGUGUAGAAGCUAACUUUAUUAGUCUGUUC
rnacentral:rRNA from 1 species